AUUGAACGCUGGCGGCAUGCCUUACACAUGCAAGUCGAACGGCAGCACGGGGGCUUGCACCUGGUGGCGAGUGGCGAACGGGUGAGUAAUACAUCGGAACAUGUCCUGUAGUGGGGGAUAGCCCGGCGAAAGCCGGAUUAAUACCGCAUACGAUCCACGGAUGAAAGCGGGGGACCUUCGGGCCUCGCGCUAUAGGGGUGGCCGAUGGCUGAUUAGCUAGUUGGUGGGGUAAAGGCCUACCAAGGCGACGAUCAGUAGCUGGUCUGAGAGGACGACCAGCCACACUGGGACUGAGACACGGCCCAGACUCCUACGGGAGGCAGCAGUGGGGAAUUUUGGACAAUGGGCGAAAGCCUGAUCCAGCAAUGCCGCGUGUGUGAAGAAGGCCUUCGGGUUGUAAAGCACUUUUGUCCGGAAAGAAAUCCUUGACUCUAAUACAGUCGGGGGAUGACGGUACCGGAAGAAUAAGCACCGGCUAACUACGUG
rnacentral:rRNA from 1 species